rnacentral:rRNA from 1 species
CCUACGGUGGCAGCAGUGGGGAAUAUUGGACAAUGGGCGAAAGCCUGAUCCAGCCAUGCCGCGUGUGUGAGGAAGGCCUUCGGGUUGUAAAGCACUUUCAGUGGGGAAGAAAGCCUUGGGGCUAAUACCCUCGAGGAAGGACAUCACCCACAGAAGAAGCACCGGCUAACUCCGUGCCAGCAGCCGCGGUAAUACGGAGGGUGCGAGCGUUAAUCGGAAUUACUGGGCGUAAAGCGCGCGUAGGCGGUCUGAUAAGCCGGUUGUGAAAGCCCCGGGCUCAACCUGGGAACGGCAUCCGGAACUGUCAGGCUAGAGUGCAGGAGAGGAAGGUAGAAUUCCCGGUGUAGCGGUGAAAUGCGUAGAGAUCGGGAGGAAUACCAGUGGCGAAGGCGGCCUUCUGGACUGACACUGACGCUGAGGUGCGAAAGCGUGGGUAGCAAACAGGAUUAGAUACCCCAGUAGUC